rnacentral:rRNA from 1 species
UACGAAGGGAGCUAGCGUUGUUCGGAAUCACUGGGCGUAAAGCGCACGUAGGCGGAUGUGUCAGUCAGGGGUGAAAUCCCGGAGCUCAACUUCGGAACUGCCUUUGAUACAGCACAUCUGGAGUCCGGAAGAGGUGGGUGGAAUUCCUAGUGUAGAGGUGAAAUUCGUAGAUAUUAGGAAGAACACCGGUGGCGAAGGCGGCCCACUGGUCCGGUACUGA